UACAGAGGGGGCGAGCGUUGUUCGGAAUUACUGGGCGUAAAGGGCGCGUAGGCGGCCAACUAAGUCGGACGUGAAAUCCCCAGGCUCAACUUGGGAACUGCGUCCGAUACUGGAUGGCUUGAAUCCGGGAGAGGGAUGCGGAAUUCCAGGUGUAGCGGUGAAAUGCGUAGAUAUCUGGAGGAACACCGGUGGCGAAGGCGGGUCUCUGGGCAGUAACUGACGCUGAGGAGCGAAAGCGUGGGGAGCGAACAGG
rnacentral:rRNA from 1 species